rnacentral:rRNA from 1 species
GACGAACGCUGGCGGCGUGCUUAAUACAUGCAAGUCGAGCGAGGCCUUGGAAUUGGAGUCCUUCGGGAUGAAGAGUCCUUGGCCUAGCGGCGGACGGGUGAGUAACGCGUGGGCAACCUACCCCAAAGUCCGGGAUAACAGUGGGAAACCGCUGCUAAUACCGGAUGGCUUUACCUGAGGGCAUCCUUGGGUAAAGAAAGGUUACGCUUUGGGAUGGGCCCGCGUCCCAUUAGCUAGUUGGUGAGGUAACGGCCCACCAAGGCGACGAUGGGUAGCCGGCCUGAGAGGGUGAACGGCCACACUGGGACUGAGACACGGCCCAGACUCCUACGGGAGGCAGCAGUUGGGAAUCUUCGGCAAUGGGCGCAAGCCUGACCGAGCAACGCCGCGUGAGUGAUGAAGGUUUUCGGAUUGUAAAGCUCUGUCUUCCGGGACGAUAAUGACGGUACCGGAGGAGGAAGCCACGGCUAACUACGUG